UACGUAGGUGGCAAGCGUUGUUCGGAAUUAUUGGGCGUAAAGAGCUCGUAGGCGGUUUGUCGCGUCUGCUGUGAAAACUCGGGGCUUAACUCCGGGCCUGCAGUGGGUACGGGCAGACUAGAGUGCGGUAGGGGAGACUGGAAUUCCUGGUGUAGCGGUGAAAUGCGCAGAUAUCGGGAAGAACACCCGUGGCGAAGGCGGUUCUCUGGGACGGUACUGACGCUGAGACGCGAAAGCGUGGGGAGCGAACAGG
rnacentral:rRNA from 1 species